GAUGAACGCUGGCGGUAUGCUUAACACAUGCAAGUCGAACGAAAGUCUUCGGAUUUUAGUGGCGGACGGGUGAGUAACGCGUGAGGAUCUGCCUAUAGGUUGGGGACAACAGAUGGAAACGUCUGCUAAUACCCAAUGUGCCGAGAGGUGAAAGCUUUAGUGCCUGUAGAUGAGCUCGCGUCCGAUUAGCUAGUUGGUAAGGUAAAGGCUUACCAAGGCGACGAUCGGUAGCUGGUCUGAGAGGAUGAUCAGCCACACUGGGACUGAGACACGGCCCAGACUCCUACGGGAGGCAGCAGUGGGGAAUUUUCCGCAAUGGGCGAAAGCCUGACGGAGCAAUACCGCGUGCGGGACGAAGGCUUUUGGGUCGUAAACCGCUUUUGUUAGGGAAGAACACAAUGACGGUACCUAACGAAUCAGCAUCGGCUAACUCCGUGCCAGCAGCCGCGGUAAUACGGGGGAUGCAAGCGUUAUCCGGAAUUAUUGGGCGUAAAGCGUCCGCAGGUGGUUUAUCAAGUCUGCUGUCAAAUCGUAGGGCUUAACCCUAUAAAGGCAGUGGAAACUGAGAGACUAGAGUACGGUAGGGGUAGCGGGAAUUCCCAGUGUAGCGGUGAAAUGCGUAGAUAUUGGGAAGAACACCAGCGGCGAAGGCGCGCUACUGGGCCGAAACUGACACUCAUGGACGAAAGCUAGGGGAGCGAAAGGGAUUAGAUACCCCUGUAGUCCUAGCUGUAAACGAUGACAACUAGGUGUUGCGCG
rnacentral:rRNA from 1 species